rnacentral:rRNA from 1 species
CCUACGGGAGGCAGCAGUGGGGAAUUUUGGACAAUGGGCGCAAGCCUGAUCCAGCAAUGCCGCGUGCAGGAUGAAGGCCUUCGGGUUGUAAACUGCUUUUGUACGGAACGAAACGGCUCUUUCUAAUAAAGAGAGCUAAUGACGGUACCGUAAGAAUAAGCACCGGCUAACUACGUGCCAGCAGCCGCGGUAAUACGUAGGGUGCGAGCGUUAAUCGGAAUUACUGGGCGUAAAGCGUGCGCAGGCGGUUAUAUAAGACAGAUGUGAAAUCCCCGGGCUCAACCUGGGACCUGCAUUUGUGACUGUAUAGCUAGAGUACGGUAGAGGGGGAUGGAAUUCCGCGUGUAGCAGUGAAAUGCGUAGAUAUGCGGAGGAACACCGAUGGCGAAGGCAAUCCCCUGGACCUGUACUGACGCUCAUGCACGAAAGCGUGGGGAGCAAACAGGAUUAGAUACCCUGGUAGUCCACGCCCUAAACGAUGUCAACUGGUUGUUGGGUCUUCACUGACUCAGUAACGAAGCUAACGCGUGAAGUUGACCGCCUGGGGAUACGGCCGCAAGGUUGAAACUUAAAGGAAUUGACCGGNUGAGACGNGCGAGACGACGACGAGGGAGGAGG